CGAAAGCCUGACGGAGCAACGCCGCGUGAGGGAUGAAGGCCUCCGGGCUGUAAACCUCUUUUAUCAAGGAAGAAGAUCUGACGGUACUUGAUGAAUAAGCCACGGCUAAUUCCGUGCCAGCAGCCGCGGUAAUACGGGAGUGGCAAGCGUUAUCCGGAAUUAUUGGGCGUAAAGCGUCCGCAGGCGGUUUUGUAAGUCUGUCGUUAAAGCGUGGAGCUUAACUCCAUUUAAGCGAUGGAAACUGCAAGACUAGAGUGUGGUGGGGGCAGAGGGAAUUCCCGGUGUAGCGGUGAAAUGCGUAGAUAUCGGGAAGAACACCAGUGGCGAAGGCGCUCUGCUGGGCCAUAACUGACGCUCAUGGACGAAAGCCAGGGGAGCG
rnacentral:rRNA from 1 species